UCUUUGCUCUCCUGCCCCAAUCCUGGCCAUCCCCUUCCCUGUCCAAGCUAGGGUACGAGUGAUGCUGUUGGACAAAGGCUCCUGUGCAGCAGAUGAGGUGCUUCGGGCUGGGGCUGCCUUUCCCAGCGGGCUCGUGGAGAGCCACUGGGAGCCAGGUGGGCUGCAGCAGCUCAUCCUGAGCCCAUCAACAGCCUCAGGGCCAGCCUGGACUUUUGUGGAGGUGUCAGUAGUGCUGUAGGUGUUUGCUUGGUUCUCCUCGGUGUGCUGGAGCACCUGGGGGUGCAGGGGGGUCUGGAGGGGUGCUUGCAGAGGAAGGGGCUUUUUGGAGGUUGUUCUGGGCAGCAAGGACUGGCUCAGCGCUGGGAGGGCCGCUCUGAGGGCGGGGCUGGCAGCCUGAGCUGGCUUCAGAAGCAAAGGAGCAUCUGUCUUAGGGCAGGGGCUGGUUUGGUCCUGAGGCUGUGAGUCCCUGCUGCCUCAGACGCGUUGGGUGAGGUGUUCCUACAGCGCUGACACCCCUGCUAUAACCUCCAGCAGGCGGUAAGGACCGUCCUCUUUCUCAGAGACCGUGGCUUUCGUUCCCUUCCUGCAGCUGCCAACAAGCCCCCUGCUGCCUGGAAGCAGGAGCCGUUGCUUGGUGGCUUUGCCCUCGCCAGCUGGAUGGAGACCUGCGCCCAGGCUUCUGAAACGCACCUGCAGCAGCUCAGCGCCAAGGUGGCGGAGGUGAGGUGGAAAGCUGAAAACUGGGGGAAAGCCCAUCUUCUCACACGGCUGCUGCCGGAUGGGGAGGCAGGGCUAAAUCCCCCACCGGAGCUGGCCAGAGCAAGGGGCAGCAGCUGGGAAACCCGAUAACAGGAGCUGGACUCCCACGUUGUGCAUCGAGCUUGGCAUGGAGCCCUCGCUCCCUCCUGCAGGGACACGAAAUGCACUGCACAGCAGAAAAUGAAUGGCUUGGAGAUGAAGAUAAAUGCAGUGGAUAAAGAUGGGCAAGGAGCGCGUAUGGGAAGGCUGCAGAGAGAGCUGCCCUCUCCCAUGGAGGUGCUGGGUGCUGCCCUCUUUUGAGGGGCAAGGAGAGCUGAGGCCCUGUGCACACAUGGUGGUGCAAAGCCUGCUUUGUUCCCACAGCCUUGGGUUUGUCCCUUCCUCCCGGGGAAACUGAGGAAAGCAGGGGCAGGGAGGUGGGCAAGGGCUUUGCGUUGAAGCCCCCACAGCAGCGAUGCCCAAACCUGCUGCCCACCACCCGAGCCCAAGUCCCCUCUCUGGUGCACAGCAAAGUGAGGAGCGGAUGGGGUUGUUGCUGCCUGGUGGGAAAAGCUCUGCGUUCCAGCAGGCUGUGGAUGCAAACAAGGUCAGAGGAGCUAUUAAUAAAGCCAAGGCUUGCUGAGGAAUGCAAAACCCGGGGGGGAGAUGACCCACAAGCAGAGGAGCAUGGGGCUGUGGGCUUCUCCUGGAGAUGGCUGCUGGCAGCAAUGCUGCCCUGCCUGCACGAAGCCCUCUGCCUUCCUCCCCAGCUGGAAUGAACGCAAUUAGUGCAGUGCUCCUGGCGUCUUCCUCGGCUGGGCUCUAUUUAUAACCGAGCCCUAGCAGAGCGUCUAUCUGUCCAGCUUGCAGCAGGGCUGGUGCAGGACCUCUGCACCCUCCCCACGCCCUCCCCCAGUGGAGCUGAAAAUGGGGUGAUUUCCCUGCUUUUUCUCCCUGACCGUCAGUCCUACUGCACUGUUCAAGUGGGAAGAAAAAAAAAAAGGCUAAAAAAUAACAAUGCACAAAUAUUUCUGUGACAUCCAGGAGCACAAGUUGGUUGGGCUGGAGGCCAAGGGUUUUUGUUGGAGGUACUUGUGAGCGGUGAGAGGUGACGGAGGGGGCUUCCCUGGGCUUCCUCUUGCUCGUCAGCACCAGCUUGCUGCCAGUGGCCGUGCUCACGUGGGGACAGCUUGAGAAAUGACCUUUAAAAAUGAGUGGCAGCUGGGGAUGACAGCAGUCCAGUGGCACGUGCUAGACGGGCUAUGGGAAAAAGUUGGUGAGGCAUGGUCCUUGCGUUGUGAAUUUUCUAGUGUUUUUUUGGGGGGGAGGGUUAAAGUAACAGAUGCUGGAGCUGUAGAUCAUUUAGCUAUGAGUUGUAGAGAUCAUUUUGAUGACUGAACUUGAUGGUCUUGAUGGUCUUUUCCAACCUAGGUGAUUCUAUGAUUCUACACGUGGCAAAGUCGAGCCCUUCUUCCCAGGGAAGGUGAGGCAGGAGAGCUGGAGCAGGACCAUGGCCUCGGCAGUGCUGCAUCCACGCUGUGCCACCGGCCUGGGGAACGUGCUGUGCUGGGCGCAGCUAUGCGAGCUAUGUUUUCCAAUAAAUAAAGUAUCCCAGAGAUGAGGGAAUCUGGCCAAAAAGGGGGAGGGGGGGAGCUUUCGGAACAAUCAGGAGGCUAUUGCUCUUUUCUGUAAAUAAAGCAAGCUUGUGGCAUAGA